rnacentral:rRNA from 1 species
CCUACGGGAGGCAGCAGUGAGGAAUAUUGGUCAAUGGACGAGAGUCUGAACCAGCCACGUAGCGUGAAGGAUGACUGCCCUCGGGGUGGUAAACUUCUUUUAUAGAGGAGUAAAACGAGGCACGUGUGCCUUUUUGCAUGUACUUUAUGAAUAAGGAUCGGCUAACUCCAUGCCAGCAGCCGCGGUAAUACGGAGGAUCCGAGCGUUAUCCGGAUUUAUUGGGUUUAAAGGGAGCGUAGAUGGGUUGUUAAGUCAGUUGUGAAAGUUUGCGGCUCAACCGUAAAAUUGCAAUUGAUACUGGCAGUCUGGAGUACAGUAGAGGUAGGCGGAAUUCGUGGUGUAGCGGUGAAAUGCGUAGAUAUCACGAAGAACCCCGAUUGCGAAGGCAGCUUACUAGACUGUGACUGACAUUGAUGCUCGAAAGUGUGGGUAUCAAACAGGAUUAGAUACCCCAGUAGUC